GCUCUUGUAGCACAGAUGGUAGUGCAGCUGAUUCGUAAUCAGCAGGUCGCAGGUUCAAAUCCUGUCAAGAGCACCA
rnacentral:tRNA from 1 species